CUCUCUAAAGAGAUGCUAAUGGCAUGGAACCAUUGAACAUGAUGAUUUGAGCUGCUUACUUUUCUAUGAAAUAAGCAUUCACUUACCUUUAAAGGUGGUCUUAUUGCCACUUUAUUGGUGGUUUACUAAAAACUGAAAUAUUUUGGCUGAUGAUAUCACAUGUGCAUUUCACACAGGUUUUUAUAGAAAAUGACCCUGUCUAUAAUCCCUGAUCUUAGGCAGCAGCAUCCGUGUCUCUCUUCCUAUGCCCCAGGAAAUUGGACUGGUGAUGAACACUUGAUCUAUGGACAAGCAAUCUUGAAGCUAAUCAGUAAACUAUGGUCUAUUUUCUAAAUAAAAAAUGAGAUAAACCGAUCAGAUUCUCCUUCAGAAUUUGGAAUUGAGAAGUGUGAGGCUGAGAUGUUGUUUGGAAGGCAAAAAGAUGCUGUGUGAGAGCAUCAGAAUGCAUAAAAAAUGUAGAGUGGAGUCAUGUAUUGGAGGCUGGUCCCCAAAGGCAGCUCAUGUUACAGGCAGUCAAAUUUACCUUUGAAAAUCCCUCACAAAGGUGCCACUCUGGGGACAGCAUACUGUUUCUUGGUAAAACACUGUAUGAUUUUUCCAUGGCUUUGGAACAGAUUGUUGCUUCUUUGGUAGAGCACCAGAUGAAGUAGUUGGCUUGCAUUUAGAGGCCAUGUUUUGCUGAAAAUAUAUAUCUUUAAAUACUAGAAUUACACUUGGUGCAGUGAAAUGAUCACACUAUGCGAGACACCUGGAAGCUGAAACCAACUGAGAGAACAUCAGUUUCAGGACACCCAGCUUAUACUCACUCUGCGGAGUUGUGUGAAGCCCUGAGAGACAGACACUGUGUACUGCAAGGAAACAUCAGACGCCAGAAGAGAAAACAGGAGAGCUGCCACGAAAAGGAUGGCAAAUCUGGGCUGCCUUUUGCAACAUCUGUUGGGAGUCGACAAACUGCCUGGUGAUGGGCAGCCUGGAUUAUACUGAUCAGCUGCAGUGCCAGCUCCUGACCAUGGGGAGAUUGGUUUCCAGGUCUGCUGGGCUGGUGCCGAGAACAUAGAAAAUUCUUGGAGCAGGAGAAGGCAAAUAGUUUUGGAUGUGCUUGGCAAUAAAAGAGAUCUUUGUAGAAACCUUAGCUUUCUU
rnacentral:lncRNA from 1 species